CUCUUCUUCAAAACAGGGGAUGUUCUCCUUUCUUCCCUCCCUCUCAAAUAGGCGUGAAGAGGUCGGCGAUUGAUCACGCACAGUGGCAUCCAGUGACGAUGAUGGCAAAUCCGACCAUUGAAAGAAUUGUGUCCUACAAGCCAAUCGCAUGGGGAUGCGAUGGGAUUUUUCUUUAUUAUCUUCCUACUCAUUUGCAUGAUAUU
rnacentral:lncRNA from 1 species